rnacentral:rRNA from 1 species
CCUACGGGAGGCAGCAGUGAGGAAUAUUGGUCAAUGGGCGCGAGCCUGAACCAGCCAAGUAGCGUGAAGGAUGACUGCCCUACGGGUUUUAAACUUCUUUUAUAAAGGAAUAAAGUGCGCCACGUGUGCCUUUUUGUAUGUACCUUAUGAAUAAGCAUCGGCUAACUCCGUGCCAGCAGCCGCGGUAAUACGGAGGAUCCGAGCGUUAUCCGGAUUUAUUGGGUUUAAGGGGAGCGUAGGGGGUUUUUUACGUCGGCGGUAAAAUUGUGGGGAUAAACCGUACAGUGGAGGUGAAACUGGGGGACGUGAGUAUGGUUGGGGUAAGGGGAAUUGGUGGUGUAGCGGUGAAAUGCUUAGAUAUCACGAAGAAAGCCGAUUGCGAAGGCAGCCUACCAGACCACGACUGACGCUGAUGCACGAAAGCGUGGGUAUCAAACAGGAUUAGAUACCCGGGUAGUC